ACAAAACUUUUAACAACGGAUCUCUUGGCUCUCGCAUCGAAUGAAGAACGCAGCAAAAUGCGAUACUUGGUGUGAAUUGCAGAAUCCCGUGAACCAUCGAGUCUUUGAACGCAAGUUGCGCCCUAAGCCAUUAGGCCGAGGGCACGUCUGCCUGGGUGUCACGC
rnacentral:rRNA from 1 species